rnacentral:ribozyme from 1 species
ACAAAAGAAUGGGAGGCCAAAAAAUGGGGACAUCCUGGUACGUUUCUUGCCGAUGUGUUUUGUUUUAUUUUAUUUUCAUUUUAAU